UGGGGAAUAUUGGGCAAUGGAGGGAACUCUGACCCAGCAAUGCCGCGUGAGUGAAGAAGGUUUUCGGAUUGUAAAACUCUUUAAGCGGGGACGAAGAAAGUGACGGUACCCGCAGAAUAAGCAUCGGCUAACUACGUGCCAGCAGCCGCGGUAAUACGUAGGAUGCAAGCGUUAUCCGGAAUGACUGGGCGUAAAGGGUGCGUAGGCGGCGCGCCAAGUCAGCGGUCAAAGUUCCGGGCUCAACCCGGUGUCGCCGUUGAAACUGGCGUGCUCGAGUGCGUGCGAGGAAGGCGGAAUGCGUUGUGUAGCGGUGAAAUGCAUAGAUAUGACGCAGAACUCCGAUUGCGAAGGCAGCUUUCCAGCGCGCUACUGACGCUGAGGCACGAAAGCGUGGGGAUCGAACAG
rnacentral:rRNA from 1 species